GCCUCACCGUAGGUCCUCUCCCGUGUCCGCCGCCUGGUCGGCGGAAUGUGAACCUUGACGCAGCCCCGGAUGGAGCCCAUCCCUUCACCCCUGUCCCAGACUACCGAAGCUGGUCGUGAGCGGGGAAGAGGAAUUAACACACACCGUAGGAUUCAAAGCCAUCGCAUGACUUCACGGAGAGCAGCAAGUAUCAGUGCCUCUUAAUGGAUCAUAGACAAGAAAUGAAGCAGCCAAACUGCUGAUGCAUGUGUGGACCUUGGGAAACUGUUUAGCACCCCAGC